rnacentral:rRNA from 1 species
AUGAAUACGCAAAGGAGACGAAAGAAUCGUUCAAGGAGGUCAGUAGUAAUCUGGAAAACCUGGCCUGGCAACUUAAGGUCAUCAAGAAGACUGUUCAUGAAGCCCAGCUACAUUUCAUCAACAAGGGAGAAGGGGAGGAGAUUCUGUGGGGGCUCAAGGGUGCCAUUGAUGAAGCGGAUGAGAUUCUGGACUUGUUCGAGUAGGAGAGUCUUAAGAGGAAGCCCAAGGGCAUUUCUUCCAAGUUUGCACUACACUUUACUUGUCCGCUCAAGUCUGUGCUCCAGAAGCUGGACUCAGCUGGCGAUAGCGCGCAGGGCUUCCUACAGGAUAAAGGCAACGUUAUUCAAGAUUCUGCCAUCUUCCGUGAAGCUAGAGAAACGGGCCAGUCAACUCGGGAUGAUUUCUUCUUCGGGUACCACCAGCAACAUGGUGAUCUCAUGGAUCUGCUUCAAGUCGAGCAGAAUAAGGUUAUAG